rnacentral:rRNA from 1 species
UAGGGAAUCUUCCACAAUGGACGCAAGUCUGAUGGAGCAACGCCGCGUGAGUGAAGAAGGUUUUCGGACCGUAAAGCUCUGUUGUUGGUGAAGAAGGAUAGAGGUAGUAACUGGCCUUUAUUUGACGGUAAUCAACCAGAAAGUCACGGCUAACUACGUGCCAGCAGCCGCGGUAAUACGUAGGUGGCAAAGCGUUGUCC